rnacentral:rRNA from 1 species
AACGAACGCUGGCGGCAGGCUUAACACAUGCAAGUCGAACGCCCCGCAAGGGGAGUGGCAGACGGGUGAGUAACGCGUGGGAAUCUACCCAUCUCUGCGGAAUAGCUCCGGGAAACUGGAAUUAAUACCGCAUACGCCCUACGGGGGAAAGAUUUAUCGGGGAUGGAUGAGCCCGCGUUGGAUUAGCUAGUUGGUGGGGUAAAGGCCUACCAAGGCGACGAUCCAUAGCUGGUCUGAGAGGAUGAUCAGCCACAUUGGGACUGAGACACGGCCCAAACUCCUACGGGAGGCAGCAGUGGGGAAUAUUGGACAAUGGGCGCAAGCCUGAUCCAGCCAUGCCGCGUGAGUGAUAAAGGCCUUAGGGUUGUAAAGCUCUUUCACCGAUGAAGAUAAUGACGGUAGUCGAGAAGAAGCCCCGGCUAACUUCGUGCCAGCCGCCGCCGUAAGAC